UAAUUCCGACGUUCGGAAUUGAUAUUUAGCUAGUAAUUAUUGUUUCAGUACUCGUCUCAUUACCCGGUACUGUCAAAUCACGGUGACAAUCAUAAAAUCAAAUCUUAGGAAAUGAAUCGCGUCAGUAAUUCAUCUGACAGUUGCUCGGUAAACAGCGGAUUGCUACAUGGUAAUUUAAACAACUUACGUGAUUGGCCACUGCAGCGUGACGUCGGGUUGCAUUCCGGCAAAAGUUGAUUCUGGUUCAACUUUCUUGCCGCAGGCCGCUGCGUUUUUAUUCGGCACCCCAUGCGGUCCCGACUGCUGCAGCCUGAACGCACUACCCCCAUUCAAAUGAAUGGGAAGACUGCCGUUUUUGCCACAUUGCCUGAUCUGGUGUGAAUGCAGACCGUUAUCUAUCCAAUAGCAAGGAGGCUGUGGUACAGCAGUUGGUCCAGGCUCUACAAAUACAAGGAGAUGCCAUCAAUGACAGGAUCCAGUCCAGCCCUUUCGUACGCUCCUCUCUGACCAAAAU